CCUACGGGGAGCAGCAGUGAGGAAUAUUGGUCAAUGGACGCGAGUCUGAACCAGCCAAGUCGCGUGAAGGAUGACUGCCCUAUGGGUUGUAAACUUCUUUUAUAAAGGAAUAAUACGAGGCACGUGUGCCUUUUUGCACGUACUUUAUGAAUAAGCAUCGGCUAACUCCGUGCCAGCAGCCGCGGUAAUACGGAGGAUCCGAGCGUUAUCCGGAUUUAUUGGGUUUAAAGGGAGCGUAGAUGGUUUGUUAAGUUAGUUGUGAAAGUUUGCGGCUCAACCGUAAAUUUGCAAUUGAUACUGGCAAUCUUGAGUACAACUGAGGUAAGCGGAAUUCGUGUGUAGCGGGGAAAUGCUUAGAUAUCACGAAGAACCCCGAUUGCGAAGGCAGCUUACUAAACUGUGACUGACAUUGAUGCUCGAGAGUGUGGGUAGCAAACAGGAUUAGAUACCCCAGUAGUC
rnacentral:rRNA from 1 species